rnacentral:rRNA from 1 species
GACGAACGCUGGCGGCGUGCUUAAUACAUGCAAGUCAACUUGACUUUAGAUAGCAAUAUCGAAAAGUAGGGUGGCGCACGGGUGCGUAACGCGUAGGUAAUCUGCCCUGAGGUCUGACAUAACCCGUCGAAAGGCGGGCUAACAUCAGAUGAUAUAUAGUCACGACAUCGUGGAAAUAUCAAAUCUUCGGAGCCUUGGGAUGAGCCUGCGUCUGAUUAGGUAGUUGGCGGAGUAAUAGCCCACCAAGCCUACGAUCAGUAGCUGGUCUGAGAGGAUGAUCAGCCACACUGGAACUGAGACACGGUCCAGACUCCUACGGGAGGCAGCAGUAAGGAAUAUUGCUCAAUGGGGGAAACCCUGAAGCAGCAACGCCGCGUGAAGGAUGAAAUACUUUUAUAUGUAAACUUCUGUAAGAUGGGAAAAAUAUUCUCCUCGGGAGAAUUGAUUGUACCAUCAGAGUAAGCCCCGGCUAACUACGUGCCAGCA